rnacentral:rRNA from 1 species
UGGGGAAUAUUGGACAAUGGGCGCAAGCCUGAUCCAGCCAUGCCGCGUGAGUGAUGAAGGCCCUAGGGUUGUAAAGCUCUUUCGCAGGUGAAGAUAAUGACGGUAACCUGAGAAGAAGCCCCGGCUAACUUCGUGCCAGCAGCCGCGGUAAUACGAAGGGGGCUAGCGUUGUUCGGAAUUACUGGGCGUAAAGCGCACGUAGGCGGAUACUUAAGUUAGGGGUGAAAUCCCAGGGCUCAACCCUGGAACUGCCUUUAAUACUGGGUAUCUCGAGUCCGAGAGAGGUGAGUGGAAUUCCGAGUGUAGAGGUGAAAUUCGUAGAUAUUCGGAGGAACACCAGUGGCGAAGGCGGCUCACUGGCUCGGUACUGACGCUGAGGUGCGAAAGCGUGGGGAGCAAACAGG